CCCUGUAAUUGGAAUGAGUACACUUUAAAUCCUUUAACAAGGACCUAUUGGAGGGCAAGUCUGGUGCCAGCAGCCGCGGUAACUCCAGCUCCAAUAGCGUAUAUUAAAGUUGUUGCGGUUAAAACGUUCGUAGUUGAACUUGUGCUUCAUACGGGUAGUACAACUAUAAUUGUAGUUUGUACUGUACCUUAUGUAUGUAAGCGUAUUACCGGUGGAGUUCUUAUAUGUGUUAAAUAUUUCUAUUUUUCACAUAUUCCUCCUAUUUAAACCUGCUUCAGUGCUCUUCAUCGAGUGUUGUUGUGGGCCGGUACAAUUACUUUGAACAAAUUAGAGUGCUUAAAGCAGGCUCCAAAUGCCUGAAUAUUUUGUGCAUGGAAUAAUGAAAUAAGACCCCUGUUCUACUUUCAUUGGUUUUUAGAUCAAGAGGUAAUGAUUAAUAGAAGCAGUUUGGGGGCAUUAGUAUUACGACGCGAGAGGUGAAAUUCUUGGACCGUCGUAAGACUAACUUAAGCGAAAGCAUUUGCCAAAGAUGUUUUCAUUAAUCAAGAACGAAAGUUAGAGGUUCGAAGGCGAUCAGAUACCGCCCUAGUUCUAACCAUAAACGAUGCCAGCUAGCAAUUGGGUGUAGCUACUAUCAUGGCUCUCUCAGUCGCUUCCCGGGAAACCAAAGCUUUUGGGCUCCGGGGGAAGUAUGGUUGCAAAGCUGAAACUUAAAGGAAUUGACGGAAGGGCACCACCAGGAGUGGAGCCUGCGGCUUAAUUUGACUCAACAC
rnacentral:rRNA from 1 species